GCCAGACUCCUACGGGAGGCAGCAGUGAGGAAUAUUAGUCAAUGGCCGAGAGGCUGAACCAGCCAAGUCGCGUGAGGGAUGACGGCCCUACGGGUUGUAAACCUCUUUUGUCGGGGAGCAAAGAGAGUCACGUGUGGCUCAUUGAGAGUACCCGAAGAAAAAGCAUCGGCUAACUCCGUGCCAGCAGCCGCGGUAAUACGGAGGAUGCGAGCGUUAUCCGGAUUUAUUGGGUUUAAAGGGUGCGCAGGCGGAGGUGCAAGUCAGUGGUCAAAUUGCGGGGCUCAACCCCAUCCAGCCGUUGAAACUGGGGAUCUAGAGUGUGCGAGAGGUAUGCGGAAUGCGUGGUGUAGCGGUGAAAUGCAUAGAUAUCACGCAGAACCCCGAUUGCGAAGGCAGCAUACCGGUGCACAACUGACGCUCAGGCACGAAAGCGUGGGUAUCGAACAGGAUUAGAUACCCCAGUAC
rnacentral:rRNA from 1 species